rnacentral:lncRNA from 10 species
CCUCAAGUAAACCCUUGGAGCAGCCCUUCGAGGAAGAGAUGAAAAGUCUGUCUGGUCAUGAGAUCUGGGUUCCUGUGGAAGAAGACUUUCACCAGAGUACACAGCAAGAGUCCCUUUAAACUUCAAUCCUUGGCUGUUGUAGGUAUACUUCAGGACUUGUUGUCAAAAUACCAAUAAUCAAGAGAAGGUGUCACAAUCUUAGUAGUAGUAAUUAUCUUGAUCAUCAUAAAGAGAUAGAAAUGUUAUGCAGUGAGGUCAGAAAACAACAUGCUUGAUACUCAUGUCCUCCCUGAGAUAUCUCUUGGCAUUUUCUUACCCAAUUUUAUUGUUUAAUGCUCAUGUACAGUAGACUGAGGGAAGCAUGAAGACCUGGAGUUCAAACCCCCUUGGGAGUGAAUAACUUCUUGGUCAACUUACGAAUAAGACCCUAAGCCAGUGAAGAUCCUUGUUAAAAUUGACGGGAAUCUAGAACUGGUUUUUAAAAAAGAAAAAAAAAGAGAGAGAGAGAAGCAAAUUAUGUCUUCAAGACCAGCUACAGUGGUGAUGUUGAAGUUUUUUCCACUAAACUUCCUGUUGCAAUUUACCCCAAGAAAUAUGACCAGUGCAAAUCUUGAAUGAAGAGUUUCUAAAAUGUAUUACAUAAAGUAUGUGGAGCUGAAGAAAGCAAAAGGUUGGACUAUAAUGGAUGCUCUUUUGUGCCUCCAAGAUACACCCUUCAGUUCUGAGGCUUUCAUUUGUCCGCCCCCUGAGAGUAUUGCUGCCUGAUGUCUUUCUCCUGAGCCUUGAGACUUAUGAAUUGUCCUUGGGCAAAGGGAGCUGCCUUACCAGAAGAAACCUUCUUUCUCUAGGACACUCCUUAUCAAAUGGCUAUUGAUAUGAUAGUAUAAAUGCUUGUGCCCCUAUAUCAAAGCAGAAUUCUAAAGAACCAUUUUAGCAGAGCUGCCCAAGAGAUUGGCCAAGGCCUCCUUGAGACUGUUUCACAGUUCAAGUUCUUUUUCUCAAUCUUAAUUUUUUUUAUUUCUCAAUAGGUAUUAAUCCUGAGAACUCUCCUUAAUAAAAUUAUUAUGUGCAA